rnacentral:sRNA from 1 species
GGGGGAGAGUAGAGAGGUCCUUGGUGGGAGGUGAAAGAAAAUCCUAAGUGUUCUAAGUGUGGAGACUGACUUGGUCUAGCAAGGAGGAGAGGAAUUGCUCUCUUUGAAGAAGAGAGAUUUAAGUUAAAAUUUUCUUUGAAAUUGAAAGUGAAAACAAGCAAAGGUGGUGGUUUAGGAGUAUCAAGAGUGAAGAAUUUCUUGCAAGGAGAAGAGAAACUAUUUCAGAUGAAUUAGCAGAUGGUUCUGAAAAUGC